rnacentral:tRNA from 1 species
UCCCUGUUGGCUCAGACAGUAAAGCGUCUGCCUGCAAUGCAGGAAACACAGGUUCAAUUCCUGGGUCGGGAA